UACGAAGGGGGCUAGCGUUGUUCGGAAUUACUGGGCGUAAAGCGCACGUAGGCGGAUACUUAAGUCAGGGGUGAAAUCCCGGGGCUCAACUCCAGAACUGCCUUCGAUACUGUCGAGCUUGAGACCGGAAGAGGUAAGUGGAACUGCGAGUGUAGAGGUGAAAUUCGUAGAUAUUCGCAAGAACACCAGUGGCGAAGGCGGCUUACUGGUCCGGUUCUGACGCUGAGGCGCGAAAGCGUGGGGAGCAAACAGG
rnacentral:rRNA from 1 species